rnacentral:rRNA from 1 species
UAGCGGAGAAAUUCCAAUCGAACUCGGAGAUAGCUGGUUCUCCCCGAAAUAGCUUUAGGGCUAGCGUUGGCUUAGAUUACCGGAGGUAAAGCACUGAAUGGGCUAGGGGCCGAUAAGGUUACUGAACCCUAUCAAACUCUGAAUGCCGGAUAAUUGAUGGCCAGCAGUCAGUCUACGUGAGAUAAGUCUCGUGGACAAAAGGGAAACAGCCCAGACCCACAGCUAAGGUCCCAAAGAUACGCUAAGUGGAAAACGAUGUGGAGUUGCGAAAACAACCAGGAUGUUGGCUUAGAAGCAGCCACUCAUUAAAAGAGUGCGUAAUAGCUCACUGGUCGAGUGACUCUGCGCGGAAAAUAUAACGGGGCUAAGCGUAACACCGAAGCUUGGGCUGCACAGCAAUGUGCGGGGUAGGGGAGCGUCGAAUAUGGGGUGAAGUCGCAGCGGAAGCAGCGGUGGACUGUAUUCGAGUGAGAAUGCCGGAAUGAGUAGCGAGAAUUAUGUGGGAAUCAUAAUGGCCGAAAAUCUAAGGUUUCCUGGGGAAGGUUCGUCCGCCCAGGGUAAGCCGGGAGCUAAGGCGAGGCCGAAAGGCGUAGUCGAUGCACAUACGGUUGAAAUUCCGUAGCCACCGAACCUUAAGUACACUGACACAUGGAGAUAGCGGGACCCGGGCGUUGGUUGACCCGGGCGUAAGGGACCGAACUUUAGUAGGGAAGUCCGCGAUGCUCUGUGGCGAGAAAAGGUGUAUGGUAUGCUAAGGUGCCCGUACCGCAAACCGACACAGGUAGAUGAGGAGAGAAUCCUAAGGCCAACGGGAGAAGGGUUGUUAAGGAACUCGGCAAAAUGACCCCGUAACUUCGGGAUAAGGGGAGCCUCCUACGGGAGGCCGCAGCGAAUAGGCCCAAGCGACUGUUUACCAAAAACACAGGUCUCUGCUAAAUCGAAAGAUGACGUAUAGGGGCUGACGCCUGCCCGGUGCUGGAAGGUUAAGAGGAGAUGUUAGCCGCAAGGCGAAGCAUUGAAUCGAAGCCCCAGUAAACGGCGGCCGUAACUAUAACGGUCCUAAGGUAGCGAAAUUCCUUGUCAGGUAAGUUCUGACCCGCACGAAUGGCGUAACGACUUGGGCGCUGUCUCAACAGCCCACCCGGCGAAAUUGUUGUACUGGUGAAGAAGCCAGUUACCCGCAACUAGACGGAAAGACCCCAUGGAGCUUUACUGUAGCUUAAUACUGGAAAUCGGUAAAUCAUGUACAGGAUAGGUGGGAGACUUGGAAGCCAGGGCGUCAGCUUUGGUGGAGUCACCCUUGGGAUACCACCCUUGAUUUGCUGGUUUUCUAACCUGCGGCCGUGAAUCCGGUCGGGGGACACUGUUAGGUGGGCAGUUUGACUGGGGCGGUCGCCUCCUAAAAGGUAACGGAGGCGCUCAAAGGUUCGUUCAGCACGGACGGAAACCGUGCAGUGAGUGUAAACGCAUAAACGAGCCUAACUGCGAGACCGACGGGUCGAGCAGUAACGAAAGUUGGAGUUAGUGAUCCGGCGGUAUGCAAGUGGAAGUGCCGUCGCUCAACGGAUAAAAGCUACCCUGGGGAUAACAGGCUGAUCUCCCCCA